AUCAACCAAAUGUUAAGAUCUUCGAAAAUGCCGAUGCUGCUUUAGAGAUUAUACUGUUUUCCAGCUAAAGCAUAAGAUUUAAACAAAUAACAGCAACUUUUUCAAGUGGAGCACUAACAACUAUAUUUAACAGGCACAUGCGACUGUAUAAAAGUUGCACUCACUCUUAACCAGCCAACACACCAAUUUGGUUUUGGACCACUGGAUAUAUUAAUCUCUCUAAAUGCCGUGGGAUUGCUGGAAGUAGGGAUGCCACGUCAGCUAUCACUUUUGCAAAAAAAGCCACCACAGUUCUGUUAAUUACGUGCCAGGCCCCAUUGUUGUCGUCCGUUGGAUCUCGCACUAACGUCGAUCUGACCACCCACGUGUUCCUUUGUGGCUGCCUAAGCCGUGCGCUCGUCAGAUUGGGAAUGAACGGCGCAGAUGUCACCACACCGCACCAAAACCCUAGCCGCCCUCCUCCUCUCACCCGCGUCGUCACAACUAGCGCCGCCACCCAUCCUCACCCGCGUGCCUCCUCACCCUCCUCCAGCCAUCUUCACCGCGCCGCCGCCGCUCUCUCCGAGAGAGGCCAUCGCAUAAGUCACCGGUGGAUCUGGCCACAGGGAAGCGAGGGACACGAGUCGCCGCCACCAUCUUCUCCUCUUCCAUCCCCACCCCACCAUCGCCUCCCUCGCUCUCGCCCUCUUCUAAUCGCUCUCCACUCCAUUUAGUGCCAGAUCCGAGCGAUGGCUAGGACGCCAGGGACGAUAAGAGAGAUUGAGAGCGGCGGCUCAGCCAUGACUAGGACAACAAUAACAAGCCAUGACUGUACCAGCGUAUGGCGACGACUCGGAUAAACCCAAUUUGGAUGAUAAUACAUAUGCAUUGAUGGUAUUCUUUGUGGAUGAUCUUACAAUGGCAAUGGUUCUCACGAAAGAUUCUAUGUAAACCUAACAAUCUUGGCAUACUAUCACAUCCAACCUUUCAAUUGGGCCACACUGAAGGUAC